AUUUCUUUCAAUUUCUGAGCUGAGAUGGUUAAGCUUGAGCUUGAGAAACCACCUCUGGUUGCUACUCCUCAGAACAUUAAGAACUUCGCGUAAUUUAUAUUGGCCGAGCUCGCUUUCUGGGAAGGUGUCGAGAAUGAUUUCGGACACAUACCAGACAGAAUCAAGACAAUAUUCAAUUUACUAGGCUAUACAGGUAACUUGAGUAUAGCAUCAUUAAAGGCACAUAUGCUGGAUGACAUUGAAAAGGAUGUGCAACUACUCGUCCAAAAUGGAUUAGACAAAUUCCUUGUUGAUUUCCGUCUCAUGCACGCGGAUAGAGUCCAGCUAAUAUGUUUAUUUGAUUUUUUCUCGAAAAGUGUAAAAAAUACGUCAAUUCCAAAAUUCGCAGAGAUGCAACAUUACGGAUGUGGAUUGUGAACAGGAAAAAAAAAGUUUGGAGGACAAAAUUAGUUAUCAGUUCGAAAUAUACUUACCGUUCUCCAAUAAAUGCUGGAAAAAUUGUCACUGAUUCUCCAUUGCUGGAGCUGUACUCAAGUCUACAGCAAUCAAAGAUAUAUCGUUCUAAAGGUAUGCGUUAUUCAACGUUUGAAAAGGAUUUGCUAGCAUAUGAGUUCAGGAAAACUGGAAACAGUUUUUACAAAUACCGAGCAUCAAAUAAGCAUUCCGCAAGCCAUUCAGUUUUGCACAAACACAUUAGGAAUAAUACAACCGAUACAACAGAAUGAAUGCUAUUAAUUGAGCCGCUUCGAAAAUAUCUACAGUCUCAGGAUUUACCUUUUGUGGUAAGCCUAAGCAAAGAUGCAACUAGUAUUGUUCUAAAACCAGGAUAUGAUCUUCGUACAGAUUCUCUCUCCGGUUUGGUGCCGCUUUUUGAUAAUAAUGGUAUGCCCAUAAUGAAUCAAUUUCGAAUGAAGUCUGCGCAGCACAUGUUACACGUUUUGAAAAACUUUGCUGUAGGAACACUGACAUAUAUGAUUCUCGCUACUCCUAUGCAGCUCCAUUUUGUAUUUGAUACGCCUGUGCGGAUACUAAUUUCGAUCAUGAAGUGGUUCUUAAACGAUGGAAGUAUGUUGAAAAUAAAUUAAUGGAAGUUGGAUUUAAGGUUAUAAGCAACUGUUCUGACGGUGAUCCUAAGUUUUUGAAGGCGAUGAUUAAACGUACUAAUUCAAGUGAACCCAAGCCAAAUAUGCGAUGAGGAUAUUGGUUUCGAAUGGAAGAAAACAGUUUACCAGUAUGUAUACAGGACACAAUUCAUCUGGUGAAUAAAUGUCGGCACAGUUUAAUUAAUCCUGCUAAACAACUUCGUAUUAGUGAAAUCACAGAAUUCACAUAAGUAAAUGAUGAAAUUAAGUUAUCUUUCCUCUAACAGGUAAUUACACCAUCGCAAUAGUUCGAGAGUUAUUAGGUCGAGUUGGGAAAGAUAAACAUUUAUUAACGAAGAGUGACUUAAACAGUGGCGACAAAAUGCGGUUUGAACCAACUCUUAAAAUCAUGAAUGCUAUGGUCAGAACUCUGCUAGACCAACACCAACACGCCACGUAGGUAGUUUCCCUGGUAGAAAAGGUGCAAUUCUUCUGUUGGAUAUAAUGAAUAAAAUUAACAUCGCUUAUACUUCUACUGA